GUGAUUCUCAGCUGAUAUAAAUUGUCAUACAUGUUCAGAUUUAAAUAGCAGUUGGCUGGCCUACCCCAGAUGUAAGCUCUGGCCUAUGUUAUGUGAUAGCUAUCAGCUUGGAAUGGAAACUUUGGUGCUACUUUUACAGGCAAAUUUAUUUUAAUGUAUUAUCAGGAAAAUCCAGCGUAUUUCCAGGUAUCACGUAUCUGAAAAAGCAAUCACCAAUACAAGACCAAUACAAGGAUGUCUUCAGCUUCCUGACUCCAAAGAGAGGGGUGUUAUACUUCUUUGGUAUUUAUGUUCUCCCAUGGCAACACAGAUCUGCUGGUCACGAAACACCUACAGAUGUCAUUCUGAAACUGCCCAGCCUUUAAGAUGGCUGUAAACUCCAGGUUGGACAAUUUUCAGCACCGUUUCCAGAAUGUUCAACAGGUCCACCAGUUCUCCCGUCUCUGAACUGUCUUCUCCAAGGCUGAAGUGCUCUUUGUGCCAAUGUUGCUGGGAUCCUUCAGUUUUGGUGCACAGACAACCACAGUCCUGCAUUGCUGUGGACGUUGCUGUCCCCUGGAUCAGGCUUGAUUCAAUGCACAUGAAUACGAGGAGUGAGUAUGAACAUGAAUGGGCAUAGGAAGGAUUUGUACUGGUAUCUCAAGUACAUGACGUAUCCUGAAUCCCAAAGUGAGUGAAUUUUGUAGCUGGAAAAAGUCAUCCCAAAGUUUCCAGUGAGUAAACCCUGGGGGAUCCUGAUUUUUGGCUGCUUUUUCUUGCACUGCAAUCCCCUGUUGUUUGCUACUCUAACUACUUCUCUGUCUCUGGAUAUAAAUAGCUCUUUUCACCACAGUAACUGAACAUCAUGAAUAAAAUGAGAUUGUAAAUUCCUAUAGGGGACA
rnacentral:lncRNA from 1 species